rnacentral:rRNA from 1 species
GCGGUAAUUCCAGCUCUGUAAGCGUAUACCAAAGUUGUUGCAGUUAAAACGCUCGUAGUCGGACGUUGGCGGGUGUUGCAAGGCAGCUUCACGGCUGUUUUUUCCUUGCAUCAGCCGCCUUUGUGGAUGGGGGCUUGGUGGUGCUUCAUUGCCUCGCCAAGUCGCUGCCACCGUUUACUGUGAAAAAAUUAGAGUGUUCAAAGCGGGCGUUUGCCAUGAAUACAUUAGCAUGGAAUAAUAGAAUAGGACCUGGUCCUGUUUUGUUGGUUUGUGAGUAUCAGGUAAUGAUUAAGAGGGACGGUUGGGGGCAUUUGUAUUCCGGCGUCAGAGGUGAAAUUCUCGGAUU